AGCAGAACUCUGACACAGUCAUCCCCUUCCGGUGUGAUAGGACUGAAGGGGACAGAGAAAAGGGUCCCUACGGUCAUCUUCGAACUGGUCCCCACCACCAGGACCUGAGCCCAGCCUCAAGAUGGAGAAGGAUCGGUGUCACAUGACUGAGCAAAUAAUUAAGCUCACCCUCAAGAUACUCUACCUGCUGACCGGAGAGGUUUAUGUACCUGAAACAAACUCCAGUGAUCAU